GUCUAGCUGGCUCAAUCAGUAAAGCAUGUGACUCUGGAUCUCAGGGUCGUGAGUUCAAGCCCCACACUGGGUG
rnacentral:tRNA from 1 species